rnacentral:rRNA from 1 species
UUUAUGGAGAGUUUGAUCCUGGCUCAGGAUGAACGCUGGCGGCGUGCCUAAUACAUGCAAGUCGAGCGAACGGACGAGAAGCUUGCUUCUCUGAUGUUAGCGGCGGACGGGUGAGUAACACGUGGAUAACCUACCUAUAAGACUGGGAUAACUUC